AAUCCAGUCAGAUGCCACAACAAAGGAACCAUCACCCAACACGUCGCCAAGAUGUGAACUGUGACUUCUCGUGUCCAUGAAGUGGACUAUGAUAGAGGGGAGGUUGUGUUCUCCCAUCCCUAAUAUCAGGAACUGACCUGCGGGCUGGUGGGGGCUUCCACUCAGGUUUCCAUGGACUUCCACAACAAAGGUCUCUCCAGCCUGAACUCUGUGUGGAGAUGUAGACACAUUCAUAUACUGUGUCACCAUCCCUAGUCCACCACCAACAGGCAAGAAUAGACAACUCAAACAAAAACAACAACAAAUGAUGAAACACUCACAGACGUAGUAGUUGUCUUUCACCCUCUUCUCUGACAUCCCUUGAUUCUCCACUGGAUGAUGCAUUGAGGCAGUCAGUGAAGACAGGCCCAUGAAGCGUGUGGCUGCUGCAGAGACAGCUCCCUGAGGCAGAGAGCACAACACUGUGCCGGGCCAAGGUCACGACCGCCCUCGUUGGAAUAAAUCUCAAGGAGAGACGACUCGCUGGCGUUUGCACACCCCACGGACCGCGCUGACUCCUCCAGACCAGACAGAAGGACGAUCAGAGAAAAGACAAAGGCCGCGACUGUAGAGUGGAGCGGCUGGACGGGCAGCUGCAAGUGAUGGGGUUCAUACGACUGAUAAAGGAAGAGGAUGGGAAACGAGAAAGCAGGUGCCAUGACAACAAAGGCUGCGUGAAUACAAGGUGCGUGGGGUGUGAACGCGGGGAGUGACUGUACUGUAUGCGUGAGAAGGAAUCCAAAGAGGGUGUGAACCGGGAGGAAGCGACAGGUGAAACAGAAAAAUGCAGUAAUUUGGUGUUGGUUUUGAGUAAGUAGCAAUGUCACGUCAGGGGAAAUGCAUAAAAAGUGGAUUCCAGCUCACGGUUUGGUGCCGUGACUGCUGGAAAUCACCAGCUCAUUAAAUACACAAACGCCUUCGCGUAAACACUAAUGAAACGGGCGAGUUGGGUUUU